ensembl:snRNA U6 U6 spliceosomal RNA
AUGCUCAGUUUGGCAGCAUAUAUAAUAAAAUUGGAACGAUACAGAGAAGAUUAGCAUGGUCCCUGCUCAAGGAUGACACUCAAAUUCGUGAAGCAUUCCAUAUUUUU